GGGCGAUUAGCUCAGUUGGGAGAGCAUCGCCCUUACAAGGCGAGGGUCACUGGUUCAAGUCCAGUAUCGCCCA
rnacentral:tRNA from 1 species